GAGGCAGUUUGCAUUUGCAUCAUUUCACUAGCGAAAGAAGUUCUGUUCUUCAAGGAAAAGCUUCUUUCAGGGAAUAAAGGGAGAAAAUGCCACUGCCUAUAACCCUGGAGCCAGGACCCAUAUAUUUCUUUGACCAGCUGAAAUCUAGAACAAAAGAGCGGGGCAAGAAAAUACCAGAAGAACCACCCACUGAUUUCAAUUCACUCACCACAAAUUCUCAGCCCCCGGGCUUUAUUCCCAGCCUGGUCAAAUGCAGGAAUCCUGGAUGUACAGCAGAACAUGUGGAAGGAAAUGAAGACAGUUUCUUAAAAGAUGAUACCGCAAGAAGAGAGAAAUAUCCAUUUCUGCCUCAGAUAUCUAGCUCUUCCCUACUCAAAACUAGCAGUGAAGUUCCCAGCUCAAAGCUCUCUCAAAUGCCUCCAGUCCUUCCAGCAGAUGAAGAAAUACAGCCGAGCCUGUUGGAUGAAUAUAAAUACAUGGCUCCCACCAUCUUACAUGAACUUGGAGAAAUAUUGCAGCUCUUUUCUAGCUAUGACAUUAUUUUCCCUCAGGGAAUUGUAAAUCUCCUGACCUACAGCUGGAAGGAGCUCACUGAAGGUGCUGAUUACAGUAAAAGGCACCAUCAGUCCCUAAGGUACAAAAGCAUACGAUCAGGGAAAAGCCAAGCAUCAGAAGAGUGUGAGAAGAUGGCAUCGGGGUCUGAAUAUACGGAUCAUGAAAUGACUCAAUGUGAAAAAAGUCGGCGCAAGAAGAGUGUUUUACCUGCAGAUUGUGCGAAGGAAAAAAGGAAUCCUGAAAUGGCACCAAAUAAGCCUCUAGGAAACAAAGCUCCUGUUAUGCAACAUGAUACCCACUUACCUGUCACAAUCAGUUUCUCACUGUCAUCAAAACUGUCUGAGGAAAGAGGUUGGCGUUUCCUGCAUUCUGACUCUAAGUCUGAAGAUCUUGAAUGGAAAGUCCCUUUUGCCUGGGCAGUGGAGAAACUACGACAAGCUCAGAUACAAAUAAACGAUCGGAUAUCUAAGCUGAAAGAAGCAGGAUUUGACCAACCAGUCAUUCUCCGGCAUUAUGGUGAUACUGUGAGAGAAAAUAUUCCCAAGAAAUUUAAGGGGCAGACCUGCAAGAACUUAUUUGAGCUGCUGAAUGGAAAACCCCAAAUACCAGCAAUCAAGCAGGCAGACCCAGCAUUACGAAAACUGCAUUAUGGGCUGAUUGAUGGCUCAUCUUUGAUUUACUAUCCUUCUGGGCAUCCUGCAGUCUGCCAAAGCUAUUCCGAUCUCCCAGGUGGUGGUAUGUACACCAAUAUAUUCACUGCCUCUCCGGAUCAGACUAUACUUGGAACCUUUACACCUUUUGGACAUGGCAGUAUUUGCCUUCAUAACAGUAACGUCAUAGCAAUGAUGUUUAAUCAGGAAGGAGGCAUGGUGACUAAUAAAGAUGGAGAAAUAGUCAGAGAAUGGAGAUGGCCUCAGGUGGGAAAGCUUAGUGAUCCAGUUUUAAUGCAGGUUAAUGACUACAUCACUGUGAGGAUUGCAGGGCGCUUUGCUAUUAGCUUGGUCUACAAGUGGCAACAUGAAAGUGUGCGGUUGUCUUUGUCACCACUACAAGGUGUGGCUCUUCCACAGUUAGAAGAACUGGGCCAGAUACUCACCAGAGUUAAACUUUCAUCCACAUCAGCUAAAGAAUUCUCUAAAGUAAGCAGGAAAAAAUUGAGCGAGAAAGAAACAAAGAAGGUUCUAAAGAAAGAACCAAAGUUAUCAGAGUUGGUGAAGACACUUGAAAUUCCAGAGGAGAACAUAAGCCAUAUAAAUGACUUCAGUGCAGCCAGAGAAUUAAGAAAACUACAGCGGAAGAUCAAGACUAUUUUGGAUGACUGGCUGGAACAUUAUCGAAUGGCUUUUGAAAUUGAUUUGCCACACAUUCACAAAAUACCUGGCCUUCCUCAGAGAGCUUUAAGAAAACGCACAGUGCAGUCUGCAGCUGCUCCUCUGGCUACCUCAAUCGUACAAAGAGCACAAGAGAAGAACAGAGAGGACAGUGGAGCCUACGAGUCAGACAGCUCUCUCUUGCUAGCUCAUUUUCAAUCAGUUCCUGCUCACAAUAUGCAGUGGGAGUUGUCGCCUUAUUCUCCCAGGUAAAAAAAAUAUAAAAUCAUUUCUCACUGCCCACCGAAAUGUUUCUAUUAUGAGAACUUAAUUGUGCAUUAUGGUGAAUUUUAGGUUAUUCUAGUGGUUUGAGCAUUGGCCUGCUAAACCCAGGGUUGUGAGUUCAAUCCUUGAGAGGGCCACUUGGGGAUCUGGGGCAAAAUCAGUACUUGGUCCUGCUAGUGAAGGCAGGGGGCUGGACUCUAUGACCUUUCAAGGUCCCUUCCAGUUCUAGGAGAUGGGAUAUCUCCUAUAAUUAAGCUUAAUUAUCAGUGACAUAGAACUGAUUCUUUCACGUAUCCCCCCUUGUGGCACUGUAAAAAUUACAAGAACAAGUUAGUGACAGGAAAACCAUGAGAGGUUUGGGAAAGUAUCCUGAACUGAUCCUGGAAUACAGUUUAAAUAAAACAUUAUCUUUACUGGAUUAUCA
ensembl:lncRNA